rnacentral:rRNA from 1 species
UACGUAGGGGCAAGCGUUGUCCGGAAUCAUUGGCGUAAGAGCGUGUAGGCGGCUCGGUAAGUCCGCUGUAAAAGUCCAGGGCUCAACCCUGGAAAGCCGGUGGAUACUGUCGGGCUCGAAUCCGGAAGAGGUGACUGGAAUUCCUGGUGUAGCAGUGAAAAUGCGUAGAUAUCAGGAGGAACACCGAUGGCGAAGGCAGGGGUCUCUGGGGCUGACACUGACGCUCAUGCACGAAA